rnacentral:rRNA from 1 species
UACGGAGGGUCCAAGCGUUAUCCGGAAUCAUUGGGUUUAAAGGGUCCGUAGGCGGUUUUGUAAGUCAGUGGUGAAAGCCCAUCGCUCAACGGUGGAACGGCCAUUGAUACUGCAAGACUUGAAUUAUUAGGAAGUAACUAGAAUAUGUAGUGUAGCGGUGAAAUGCUUAAAGAUUACAUGGAAUACCAAUUGCGAAGGCAGGUUACUACUAAUUGAUUGACGCUGAUGGACGAAAGCGUGGGGAGCGAACAGG